rnacentral:misc_RNA from 1 species
UCCCCGUUACCGGGGCAGUCUGAUUAGAAAAAUACAACUAAUCACAAGGGUUGCGCUCGUUGAAGGACUUAACCUAACAUCUCACGACACGAGCUGACGACGGCCAUGCAUCACCUGUCACUUGGCUCAAUAAAGCACUCUUACCUUUCGGUAAAAUUCCAAGGAUGUCAAACCCUGGUAAGGUUCUUCGUUUAUCAUCGAAUUAAAGAACAUGAUCCACCGCUUGUGCGGGUCCCCGUCAAUUCCUUUAUGUUUUAGUCUUGCGACCGUACUCCACAGGCGGGAUACUUAACGCGUGAGCUUCGCUACUGGGGGGGUCGAUACCCCCAACAGCUAGUAUCCAUCGUUUACGGCGUGGACUAC